rnacentral:rRNA from 1 species
GAUGAACGCUGGCGGCGUGCCUAAUACAUGCAAGUCGAGCGAAUGGAUUAAGAGCUUGCUCUUAUGAAGUUAGCGGCGGACGGGUGAGUAACACGUGGGUAACCUGCCCAUAAGACUGGGAUAACUCCGGGAAACCGGGGCUAAUACCGGAUAACAUUUUGAACCGCAUGGUUCGAAAUUGAAAGGCGGCUUCGGCUGUCACUUAUGGAUGGACCCGCGUCGCAUUAGCUAGUUGGUGAGGUAACGGCUCACAAAGGCAACGAUGCGUAGCCGACCUGAGAGGGGGAUCGGCCACACUGGGACUGAGACACGGCCCAGACGCCUACGGGAGGCAGCAGUAGGGAAUCUUCCGCAAUGGACGAAAGUCUGACGGAGCAACGCCGCGUGAGUGAUGAAGGCUUUCGGGUCGUAAAACUCUGUUGUUAGGGAAGAACAGGUGCUAGUUGAAUAAGCUGGCACCUUGACGGUACCUAACCAGAAAGCCACGGCUAACUACGUGCCAGCCGCCGCCGUAA